UGGCUCUGUUGGUAGAGCAUGGUGCUUGCAAUGCCAAGGCUGUGGGUUCAAUACCCAU
rnacentral:tRNA from 1 species